GAUGAACGCUAGCGGGAGGCCUAACACAUGCAAGCCGAGCGGUAGAGAUUCUUCGGAAUCUUGAGAGCGGCGUACGGGUGCGGAACACGUGUGCAACCUGCCUUUAUCAGGGGGAUAGCCUUUCGAAAGGAAGAUUAAUACCCCAUAAUAUAUUAAGUGGCAUCACUUGAUAUUGAAAACUCCGGUGGAUAAAGAUGGGCACGCGCAAGAUUAGAUAGUUGGUAGGGUAACGGCCUACCAAGUCAGUGAUCUUUAGGGGGCCUGAGAGGGUGAUCCCCCACACUGGUACUGAGACACGGACCAGACUCCUACGGGAGGCAGCAGUGAGGAAUAUUGGACAAUGGGUGAGAGCCUGGUCCAGCCAUCCCGCGUGAAGGAUGACGGCCCUAUGGGUUGUAAACUUCUUUUGUAUAGGGAUAAACCUUUCCACGUGUGGAAAGCUGAAGGUACUAUACGAAUAAGCACCGGCUAACUCCGUGCCAGCCGCCGCGGUAAGAC
rnacentral:rRNA from 1 species